AUUCUAAAUGACUCUCGGCAACGGAUAUCUCGGCUCUUGCAUCGAUGAAGAACGUAGCGAAAUGCGAUACUUGGUGUGAAUUGCAGAAUCCCGUGAACCAUCGAGUCUUUGAACGCAAGUUGCGCCCGAAGCCAUUAGGUCGAGGGCACGCCUGCCUGGGUGUCACAC
rnacentral:rRNA from 1 species